CCGGAGGAAGGUGGGGACGACGUCAAGUCAGCAUGACCUUUAUAUCCAGGGCUACACACACGCUACAAUGGUCAGUACAAUGGGUUGCCAAGCCGCGAGGCGGAGCCAAUCCUAAAAAGCUGGCCUCAGUUCAGAUUGCAGUCUGAAACUCGACUGCAUGAAGUCGGAGUUGCUAGUAAACGCAGGUCAGCUAUACUGCGUUGAAUACGUUCCCGGGGCUU
rnacentral:rRNA from 1 species